AUGACACCACCCGGACCCGUUGAUGGAUCCAGCCGGGAGAUUCUGCCUUGGGAGAACCUGCUCCAGUGGCUUACCCCGACCCAUCAGCCGGCUUCUCCCUCUCCAGCCCCAGCUCCGCCUCGCCGCCGGCGGCAUCGCCGACCUUCGGCCGCGGCGUUCCUCCCAGUUCUCCCGGAACCAGAGGCAUAUUUGGACCGGGAGCCGCUGCCAGAUCGCUCCAGUUAUGAGGGCACGAGGCUGGCGAUCUGUUCCCCCGGAGUCGGUCCACGGCGUGGGGAGAGACGCCGGAAGCCACCGCACCCCUGCGCUCCUGGACGGAGCUUCGAGCCCGCCGCUGACCGUGCCCGGCGCGGCAGUUCGGACACGCCCCCGGCCAGACCACCAGUCACGUCUCCUGCCAAGCCGGUGCCUCUGUCGGUUGCAGAGGAAGAAGCAGCAAUCGCAGCCCGGCUGCUAGAGCAAUGGGCGGAGCUCGGCCGGUUCCGCAAGCUCAUCAGCCGCCAGGAGUCUCACCUGGGUGCUCUAUCCUCCUCGUCUCAGGGCCAGAGGAGCGAGCGCGGGGUUCCCCCAGUGGAGCUCGCCGGUCAGCGGGCUGAGCUGGCCCAGCUCCGUUGGACGCUCAGCCUCAGGGAGCUACAGCUGGACGAGCUGACCUCCCACCUCUCCUCAACGCUCCAAGCCUUCCUAGCAGCGGCUCUGCCACCGGCCCAGAAGCAGACGGCACCGGCCCUUAAGCCGACGGAGCGGGCCCAGAGGCAGAGGGCAUCGACCCGGAAGCAAACGGUACCGGAUCCGGUCCAAAACUCGGCGGUCCAGAAGUCGAGGGACCUGAAGCCGACUCCUCUGGGCCAGAAGCAGACGGUUCCGGUUCCGGUCCAGAGGUCGACGUCCGAAAACCGAAGGACCAGAAGUCAACGCCCCCGGACCCGAAGCCGACGCCCCCGGACCAGAAGUCGAUGGAAGUCGACGCCCGUUCCUGUUCUGAAGUCGACGUGUCCGAAGGCGCCUCCUCUGAAGUCGGCUCGUCUGAUGACGUCGCCUCUGAAGUCGGCUCGUCUGAUGACGUCGCCUCUGAAGUUGGCUCGUCUGAUGACAUCGCCUCUGAAGUCGGCCCGUCUGAUGACGUGGCCUCUGAAGUCGGCCCGUCUGAUGACGUGGCCUCCUCCUCUGAAGAUGGCUCGUCUGACGACGUCGCCUCCCAAGUCGGCUCGUCUGGGGAUGUUCUCUGCACUCAAGAGGUCGACGCUCCGUCCAGCCGCAUCUCCACGGUCUCCGGUUCCGGUGGUGGUUUUGAGGGCCGUUCUGGCCCAGCCUGCAGAGACUUUGUCACCGGCCCAACCUGCAGAGCUCCUCUAUCAUAGACGCAGGCCCUCAAGGGUCCGUCCUCGUCUCCUCAUCUGCCGCAGGCGCCGGCCUCCAAGGGCCCGUCGUCUCCUCUUCUGCCGCAGGCGCCGGCCU
rnacentral:lncRNA from 1 species